rnacentral:rRNA from 1 species
CAGUCGCCGCGGUAAAACGGAGGGUGCAAGCGUUAUCCGGAUUUAUUGGGUUUAAAGGGUCCGUAGGCGGAUCUGUAAGUCAGUGGUGAAAUCUCACAGCUUAACUGUGAAACUGCCAUUGAUACUGCAGGUCUUGAGUAAAGUUGAAGUGGCUGGAAUAAGUAGUGUAGCGGUGAAAUGCAUAGAUAUUACUUAGAACACCAAUUGCGAAGGCAGGUCACUAAGAUUUAACUGACGCUGAUGGACGAAAGCGUGGGGAGCGAACAGGAUUAGAUACCCGAGUAGUCCCUGUCUCUUAUAC